GUGAUUACGGGUGUCGGUCCACAGGGAUUGGAGACAAGUUAUUUUUCCUAAUUAAAUAAUUACUUCAAAGGGGAUAAGCUAGAGUAAAUGAUAAAAACUAAGAAUUAAUAUGGGUGUAGUAGUAUGAAUUAUCUAUGGAGAGAGGUGUUUAGGGCUAGAAUCCACCGAUAGAUUUAUAUUCGUGACGCUUUCAAUGAUUGAGUUGUAUUUAAGACUUGAUUGCUUCCGACUACAAGCCAAAGCAAUCAUAAAAGAAAAUUAUGAUUAAUUUCCAGCAUGAAUCAUCUAAGUCUAGCACAAACCAUCUACUCUAACGAUAAGCAUGACCUGUCUAACCUAGCAUGAUGCAUCUGAUCAUUAAUUCAUUAAACAUGAAAUCGAUGUCACAUGAAUAUCUCCUCCAAACCACAGGUGUUGGAUUCGAUGAAAUAGAUCAAUCUAUAUAAAAUAUUUUAUGCAAGAUAAAUAAUUCAUAUAAAUUGGAUAAAUCAUAAAGAUCAAUUGAUAAAUUCUUCAUCAUGCAACACUCUUACAAUACAAACUCAAAUCAAUAAAAAUGAAACGAAUACUCCUCUAUGGCUUCAUCAAAC
rnacentral:lncRNA from 1 species